UAGGGAAUCUUCCACAAUGGACGAAAGUCUGAUGGAGCAACGCCGCGUGAGUGAAGAAGGUUUUCGGAUCGUAAAGCUCUGUUGUUGGUGAAGAAGGAUAGAGGCAGUAACUGGUCUUUAUUUGACGGUAAUCAACCAGAAAGUCACGGCUAACUACGUGCCAGCAGCCGCGGUAAUACGUAGGUGGCAAGCGUUGUCCGGAUUUAUUGGGCGUAAAGCGAGCGCAGGCGGAAUGAUAAGUCUGAUGUGAAAGCCCACGGCUCAACCGUGGAACUGCAUCGGAAACUGUCAUUCUUGAGUGCAGAAGAGGAGAGUGGAACUCCAUGUGUAGCGGUGGAAUGCGUAGAUAUAUGGAAGAACACCAGUGGCGAAGGCGGCUCUCUGGUCUGCAACUGACGCUGAGGCUCGAAAGCAUGGGUAGCGAACAGGAUUAGAUACCCUGGUAGUCCAUGCCGUAAAACGAUGAGCGCUAGGUGUUGGGGACUUUCCGGUCCUCAGUGCCGCAGCAAAACGCAUUAAGCGCUCCGCCUGGGGAGUACGACCGC
rnacentral:rRNA from 1 species